GACGAACGCUGGCGGCGUGCCUAAUACAUGCAAGUAGAACGCUGAAGAGAGGAGCUUGCUCUUCUUGGAUGAGUUGCGAACGGGUGAGUAACGCGUAGGUAACCUGCCUUGUAGCGGGGGAUAACUAUUGGAAACGAUAGCUAAUACCGCAUAACAAUGGAUGACACAUGUCAUUUAUUUGAAAGGGGCAAUUGCUCCACUACAAGAUGGACCUGCGUUGUAUUAGCUAGUAGGUGAGGUAACGGCUCACCUAGGCGACGAUACAUAGCCGACCUGAGAGGGUGAUCGGCCACACUGGGACUGAGACACGGCCCAGACUCCUACGGGAGGCAGCAGUAGGGAAUCUUCGGCAAUGGGGGCAACCCUGACCGAGCAACGCCGCGUGAGUGAAGAAGGUUUUCGGAUCGUAAAGCUCUGUUGUAAGUCAAGAACGAGUGUGAGAGUGGAAAGUUCACACUGUGACGGUAGCUUACCAGAAAGGGACGGCUAACUACGUGCCAGCAGCCGCGGUAAUACGUAGGUCCCGAGCGUUGUCCGGAUUUAUUGGGCGUAAAGCGAGCGCAGGCGGUUUGAUAAGUCUGAAGUUAAAGGCUGUGGCUCAACCAUAGUUCGCUUUGGAAACUGUCAAACUUGAGUGCAGAAGGGGAGAGUGGAAUUCCAUGUGUAGCGGUGAAAUGCGUAGAUAUAUGGAGGAACACCGGUGGCGAAAGCGGCUCUCUGGUCUGUAACUGACGCUGAGGCUCGAAAGCGUGGGGAGCGAACAGGAUUAGAUACCCUGGUAGUCCACGCCGUAAACGAUGAGUGCUAGGUGUUGGAUCCUUUCCGGGAUUCAGUGCCGCAGCUAACGCAUUAAGCACUCCGCCUGGGGAGUACGACCGCGAGGUUGAAACUCAAAGGAAUUGACGGGGGCCCGCACAAGCGGUGGAGCAUGUGGUUUAAUUCGAAGCAACGCGAAGAACCUUACCAGGUCUUGACAUCCCGAUGCUAUUUCUAGAGAUAGAAAGUUACUUCGGUACAUCGGUGACAGGUGGUGCGUGGUUGUCGUCAGCUCGUGUCGUGAGAUGUUGGGUUAAGUCCCGCAACGAGCGCAACCCCUAUUGUUAGUUGCCAUCAUUCAGUUGGGCACUCUAGCGAGACUGCCGGUAAUAAACCGGAGGAAGGUGGGGAUGACGUCAAAUCAUCAUGCCCCUUAUGACCUGGGCUACACACGUGCUACAAUGGUUGGUACAACGAGUUGCGAGUCGGUGACGGCAAGCUAAUCUCUUAAAGCCAAUCUCAGUUCGGAUUGUAGGCUGCAACUCGCCUACAUGAAGUCGGAAUCGCUAGUAAUCGCGGAUCAGCACGCCGCGGUGAAUACGUUCCCGGGCCU
rnacentral:rRNA from 1 species